CUUAUUUAAGUUGUUGGAGUGUUAAAACUUUUUUAUACAGCCUACGAUGUUAAGGCAGAUCUAAGCCACGCCCUUACGUUAACGGUUGUCCAGGACAUGACCAAUACCAAAAAACUUUCUCCUGCGCCAUUUUCUUUCACACGGGGAAUACGCAAGACAGUAGAAGAAAUGCUUGUUCAAGUGGAGGGCAAGGGUGUCCUGAAAUGGGUUUGAAUACCAAUGAAGGAUGAAAGCUAUGAUUACUUUCAGUUUAUUCAAGAGGUGGGGAUGAGCAUGGUGACAUUCCUUGACAGAGUUAGAUCAGCAAAGCCUUUCCUCCUCUGUGUUGGAGAAAAGAAGAGUAGUAUCUAGAGGUUUACACCAUUCCCUGCGUGGUGCACACAGGUGUGGCUGCCUUAGGUGAACUGUUUAAGGCCCACUUUGUCUUUCCUGUAUACCACGAUGAGGCCUUGUGCAAUUUCUUCAUCUUCCUUCAGACUACCGUUUAUGGGAUUGACGUCGGCACUGCAAAAGAUUCCACGGGUCAAGGAAAUCCGGGAAAAAUUAUCAUAUUGAAGUUUGAAAAUGUUCACCUGUUACAUUUGCAAGGUACAGGACAAAAGUUGCUCUGUUCUUUUUCAACAUUGUAAGUUUAGUCAUGCUUUGUACCCAGGACAAGGCAAAUUGCACUUGAAAUGUGGCGAGAAUGGGUGUUCUUCUGUUUUUUUGCACGUAUUGUGGACUCAAGAUACAAUUGAGAGUACAUUAAGACUGUGUAGCUUUAAGUUCUGUUAAUCCUUUGGACAAUGUUGACAGUAAUGUUAGUGUUCCUGAUCCACUGCCAAGUGCAGUUUCUUUGGUCAGUUACCCAGCUCCUCUUAAAAAAAGACCGUUACUGGAUAUGUGUAGCUCUAUUGUCGCUCAAGUACAAGCAUCUGGAGUCUUUGAAAGUAGUGUGCAGU